rnacentral:rRNA from 1 species
UACAGAGGUCCCGAGCGUUGUUCGGAUUCACUGGGCGUAAAGGGUGCGUAGGUGGUGGGGAAAGUCGGAUGUGAAAUCCUGGAGCUCAACUCCAGAACUGCCUUUGAUACUGAAGAUCUUGAGUCCGGGAGAGGUGAGUGGAACUGCGAGUGUAGAGGUGAAAUUCGUAGAUAUUCGCAAGAACACCAGUGGCGAAGGCGGCUCACUGGCCCGGUACUGACGCUGAGGCACGAAAGCGUGGGGAGCAAACAGG